rnacentral:rRNA from 1 species
GACAGAGGGUGCAAACGUUGUUCGGAUUUACUGGGCGUAAAGCGCGUGUAGGCGGCUUUGCAAGUCGAACGUGAAAUCCCUGGGCUCAACCCAGGAACUGCGUCCGAUACUGGAAGGCUUGAAUCCGGGAGAGGGAUGCGGAAUUCCAGGUGUAGCGGUGAAAUGCGUAGAUAUCUGGAGGAACACCGGUGGCGAAGGCGGCAUCCUGGACCGGUAUUGACGCUGAGGCGCGAAAGCCAGGGGAGCAAACGGG